CUUGACUGUGCAACAUUUUACAAUUUUCUUUGUUAACCCUUCUUAAUAUCCCCUGUCAAAUUGUUUUCAUGCUUUUUACUUACUUAAUACCACAGACAGACAAGGUUUAUCCAGAGACUGGAAAAAAUACUGAUAGUACCUGGAACUGUAGUUGAGAAGCAGCUAUUCAUAACAGAGGUCAUUUUACCAGAGGUAAUGUUUGCAAAUAAUACAACUACAUUUACAGGAAAACUAAUUACUGAGUAAGUUAUGCCAUACAACAAGUGUCACUCGAUUUUGGAUAAUUUGGAGAACAUAAUUUCCAGAAUACAUACCACAACAAGAAAAAUAGAAUCAUGACUUUCUGCUAAUAGUUGUUAAAAUCAAAACUGAAGUACUUGAGUAUGACUAUUAAUUUUAAUGAGUACAUAAAUGUACAGUAUACAAGACGAAAUACUUUAAUGGGUUUGAAGCUGAUAAUUUCUGACAUGCUUAUUAUUAAAAAUAAUUUUUGUUACAUGUGUCGUUACCAAGCAGAAUCUGUGCUUCUAACCACCAAACCUUCAAAGAAAAAGAAAGGAGCUGCAAGAAAGGCAGCUGAAGAAACCGAGACCACCGAAGAGGAAAACCUUCUUAUCCUACAUAGCCUGGCUGCAGCUGACUGGUGCGAUAAGGCAACAUUCAAUGGAGGACUGAAACUCCCUGCUGUCCUUUUUAUGGACAGAGAAGAAAGAAAAGAAGCCAUCCAGGAGAUGGACACCUGGGAUGGGGAACUGGAUGAGGAUUCUCCAGCAGAACUUUGUACAUUCGUUUUUGAAAGAAAAAAGGACUAUGACAACUUCUGGGAAGAAUGUGUUGAUAAAAACAAUUACAGACUGUUUACAAGAUUUGAGGAACAGUGAUUGUUAAAAUAUUUUUAUAUUGUGUUAUAUUAAAGAGUUUUGUUCCUAAAUACAGCCUAGUAAUUCAUACCA